rnacentral:rRNA from 1 species
UAUCUCUGUAGAGUCUGCAUAUCAAUAAGCGGAGGAAAAGAAACUAACUAGGAUUCCCUUAGUAACGGCGAGUGAAGCGGGAAGAGCUCAAAUUUGAAAUCUUCAAGGUUCUACCUUGACGAAUUGUAGUUUAAAGAAGUGUUUUCUGUUGGAUGUUUUGGUAAGAGUUCUUUGGAAUAGGACAUCAUAGAGGGUGAGAAUCCCGUAUUUGACCAUUACUUUCCAGCGUUGUGAUACACUUUCAAAGAGUCGGAUUGUUUGGGAAUGCAAUCCAAAAUGGGUGGUAAAUUUCAUCUAAAGCUAAAUACUGGCGAGAGACCGAUAGCGAACAAGUACCGUGAGGGAAAGAUGAAAAGAACUUUGAAAAGAGAGUUAAACAGUACGUGAAAUUGUCAAAAGGGAAGCGUUUGACACCAGUGUUGUUUUCUCGAAAAUCAAUUACAAAAUGCUUGGAUUUUGUAUUGUUAAUGACCUUAUCAGCUUUACUGCUACUCUUUUUUGAUUCUUUCUUAAUGCACUUUUCGUUUAACAAGUCAACAUCAAUUUCUUUUGUUGUAAAAGAGUAUUCGGAAGGUGGCUUUCUUUUCGGAGAAAGUGUUUAUAGCCCUAUACUUCUACAAUCGGAGAGAUUGAGGUCUGCAGCGUAGAUCCUUCGGGGUUAGAUACACUUUGUGCUAAGUUGUAGCUUUUCAUAGACAACUUGUUGACUAUGUUUAGUCUUGCGGCUUACUCGCUUGUGCUAUUUUACCUACGCUUAGGAUGUUGACGAGACUGUCGAUCUC